AAGGCAGAAGCCCUAAGCUUCUCCAACUGGACAGAGGGAUCUUCCUCCUGUCAUCGUUGUCUAAUGCUUAAAGAAAACAGAGCCUUAAAUAGCAGGUAUAAAAAUCCACUACACAGGUGCAUCAAGGUGGUUAAAAAGUUAUUUGUCAGGAAAAUGUCUAAGUGAAAAUAAGAGGAAGAAAAAGGAUUCUACAGACCACAAAAAUAAGCUUUUAUUUCUCCGAUUGGAAAAGAAUUUAAGAGACCCAUGGGAGAAAAAGAGAAAAGCACCUUAGUUUACAUUAGCCAGAGGGAGACUCCUGUGUGGUGAAAGGCAAAGCAUGCAGCAGGGCCAGAAUUCCCUCUGGAAAUAUUCCUCACUCAUUUUAUCCAAGAACUUAUAAGCUUGAUAACUCUCACAGGGUUCACAGGCACACAAAAAUAUUUUUUUCCUUCCACAUCAGAGUAAACUGUUGGACAGCUUUUAGCACCCUGCAAACUGAGCAGCACCUGGACUGUUUGUUCUAAGCACCAUCAAGUUAAAAGCAAACAAAGUUCACUGGCAGCUUGCUGCUUAUACACGACAGAAUAAAAUAUAUGUAAACAUUACCACAGCUCAAAUUAGCAUUUUUCAUUGUUAGUUUAGUGAUGCACUAUUGUGUCUUUUAUGAUCACAUUACCUAGCCUUGGUUUCAAACUGUGUAAUCAUGCCAUUGGCCUUUGUUACAACCAGGUGACACUAGUGUACUACAAGUGUACUAAACCAGGUCAUUGAACCAGCCACUAUAAAAUAUAUAUCAACUAUAAUGUCUCUGACAGCAGAUUUUUUUCUCAGUGUUUUCAUUAUAAGGCUUCUUUUAAUGCAACCCAUAACAUACAACAAUC